rnacentral:lncRNA from 1 species
UGUGUGAUGUGUUUUCGUGUGUGAUGUGUGUUAGUGUGCAAUGUGUUAGCGUGCGUGAUGUCUCACUGCUGUUCAAGUGGACAUUAGCAUUGUCAGGUGGCCUCUGCAGUGUGGGGGUUCCUCUGGUCUGAGCUUGGCAGCCCCUUACCUCAGAGUCCAGGCCUCCUGUGUGUCCUCCAGAGAUAGUUCUCAUGGCAGCACUGGCUGCCCGAGCCCCCAGAGAUGCACUGGGCCCAGCCGCCAUCUUCACAAAUGGUGAACCUCUCCCUUCAAACCACACUGUAGGCACAGGCAGCUGCUGCAAGGCUGAGUCUCUGUGGAAUCCCUUCCUCUCCGAAGGGGCCUGUGAACCGUGACCGAGGGCAGUGAGGAGGGAUCUGGAGAAUCUCAGGGCGCGAGGACACUGGCGGGGCAAGUACGGGGGCAAACCUGCAGGGGCAGCUGCCAGGAGCCAAAAUCAGGGUCAACCUUUCCGUGAGGUGCUUUUGUGCAAACUGAUGUUUAGCUCCUGACUUAAGUAAAAAACAUCCUUACGUCUUAGGUACAUUUGUAAAACCUGGGUUUUAUAUGUGAUGGAAAUAAUGUACCAUCAGUAUUGCAGCGUUGCUAAAACAGGGCAAGGUUUUCUAUUAUGGGGUGACCCUGGGGUCUUCUAUUAUCAGGGUGACCCUGGGUCUUCUAUUAUCGGGGUGACCCUGGGGUUUUCUAUUAUCGGGGUGACCCUGGGGUUUUCUAUUAUGGGGUGGCCCUGGGGUCUUCUAUUAUGGGGUGGCCCUGGGGUUUUCUAUUAUCGAGGUGACCCUGGCUCCCGUGGCAAAUGCUGUCCCCAGUAGCACGUGGGGCUCUUCAGCUUAUCUGAGUGCCGCGUCUCCAUGGGCGGCAAUUUCUCGGAGGCCUGGCACGGCGGCACCGGAAGCGGGUACUGGUGCCCUAAGGAGCGGGAGGGUCAACGUCCGGGGCCUGCCCUGCACUCGCCGAGGUGAUGGGUUGGUUAGAGGAGCCACAGUUCCUCUCCGUGCACUCACGUGAAUUACGCGCGGUGACUCAGCAGCCCCAUGACGUCAUGGCUCUGAGCGAGCGGCCGAGCGUCGGUGCCCCAGUCCAGCCCUUGCUGUUCCUUCACACUCACGUUUCCAAGCUGAAAACGCGAGGGGCUCAAAACUGGAAAGGAAAACAGCGUGGUCGGCCUCUCGUUCCUGCGACGCGUUCUGUGGGUGAUGGAAAGAUGGGGGAGGAGGAGGGACCACCCAGGGUGCCCCCCGCCGACCGUUACCCGCCCUUUGCCCCAAGGCUGUCUUUGAGGUCGGUCUUUCUGGGGCUGUGGCCCAAAUGAAGUCAAGAGACAGCAUCGGGCGUUGACUGUCCCCUCGUGUGGGCCGGGCACCGACCCUGCCUGGGGUUGCUGGGCACCAGCGCUCGUCACAAUAAAAAACCCACAGUGAAGAUGGGUCAGGGGUUUGCACUGCGCCAGGUCUGCUCAUCCCCAAAGCCACGGUUUUCCCAUCGCAGGUGGUCUGGAAGCACCAGACGGCGCGCGUGUGGGGUGGCCAGCGACGGGCUGCCACGGAGGUGUGCGACCUGCAGGCCACAGACAUUCCCAGAGAGCCCCUGCGUGCAAAACAUGGACACACAGAUGUUUGUGAAGCUCUGGGAUGGCGUUUAGCAGGAGGAAUAACGGGGUCUUCAGAGAAUCAACAAAAUAAAUGUAGCACCUGUUGGGUUAUUGAAACCAGUUGUUAUUAGGAAGGGAUCUGGGGCAAUUGAUGAAGAAACAGGAAGACGACAAAACUCAAGGUCCAAGAAUGAGGAAGCCGAGGAAGAAUGAGGAAGCCGAGGAAGAAUGAGGAAGCCGAGGAAGAAUGAGGAAGCCGAGGAAGAAUGAGGAAGCCGAGGAAGAAAGCAGCCGCCGUGUGGAGCCGCCCAGAGACUGGCACUCACCUGUGUCACUGUGCGGGGAGGGCAGGGUCUCGCCAGCAGCCGGUGGCACAUGCGGGCGGCACGGGGGCUGCGUGGUGGCCUCUGUGAUGUCACCUGGCAGAGGUGCCUGAGCUGGGCCCGGCGUGGAGGGCAUAGGCCUCACUCUCUGACUGCCUGACAGUCCCUACAGUGAGCGGGACCCCCUUAUUAAGGCUGUGGGGCAGAGUGGGGUGACAGGUGUUGAGGGGUGGGGCCCAGCCCCGGGCACCCGCAUGUUCCUCUCUGCCCCUGGGAGAAGUGUUGAGAGACGGAGCUCGGGAUCAGCUGGCAUAUCCACCAUGUUCCAGGGUCGACCAGGGAGCACAGAGCCCUGAACAUCCCUUCAACAGCGCGCCACACGCUCCUGGCACAAACUCCAGACCACGGCACAGCACCCAGAUGGCUGCAGCCACGCAGGUGACACAGGGUCCAGAAACCUUGACAAAAAAGAUACUUCGGGGCAUUGGGAUGUGUGAGGCUCAGGUGGGAGGAGAAGGCUCCAGCCCUCACCACGCUUGGCCCUGCCUCCAGCAAGGACCCCCACCCCAGGGCUCCAGGCCUCGGGCUGCUGCCUGUCUGAUGUGAGCGUCCUCACCCUGUCCAGAAACCCACAACUGCCAGGACCGUGGGGUGACAGCCACGGUGGGCUCUGCAGGCCCCUCUGGUCUAAGACACCAGGAGGCCACAUCCAGCAACCAAGGCCACCCGGCAGGACACGUCAGGAUGGAGGUGCAGUGAAGACUGCGGUGGACGCCUCCAGAGGUUCCCACUUGGCUUCCAGUGGAGCCUCUGCCAAACCCGGCCUGUGCAAGGGCAGAGACAAGGCCCAGCAGGGCUCGAGCAGGCCCAAACGCACGACGCAGCUGCUGUGCCUGGGUCUGAGCUGCACCCACAGUUUUCCUGGCGUCUUGUCCUCUGGAUGGGCCUCUGGAUGAACAUAAACUCCAGGGAAGCUGCAUAGAAUAUGCAGCUCUUCUUUAACGCUCCCUAGAGGAAGAAAGCCCCUCAGCCGGAAGUAUUGUUGACGUCGCCGCCACUACUAAUGAAAUAUUUACUGAAAAGCCAAAGCGAAACAUUUUUCUAGUUAAUUAAAACAGUGCAUCUUUCAAGCAAGCUCCCUCGAGGGGCCAGGCUCGGACGGACCCAGCGGGCAGGCAACCCGAGGUGCUCCUGAGUGGGGUCUCGACUGGGAAGGGGGCGCCCAGGACGCAGGUGGGGUUCCUGCCACACGACACUGAGGGGUGGGGGGACAGACGCUGCAGAGACCCUGCGAAAGGCCCCUCCCGAUGGGUAAACUCACACUUGGUACACGCUGGCAGGGGCAUCUGGGCCUGCACUCUGGAAUUGGUGGUGGUCCUGGGAAGGUUUUUUGGGCCAGGGACAAGAGUACUUGGGUUUGCUUUCUGGAAAAAUGAAAAAAGAGAAGUU